GAGUUGCCAUUGUGGCUCAGUGGGUUACGAAUCCAGCUAGCAUUCGUGAGGAAGCAGGUUCAAUCCCUGGCCUCGCUCAGUAGGUUAAGGAUCUGGCUUUGCCAUGAGCUGUGGUGUAGGUCACAGACACAUCUUGGAUCUGGCAUGGCUGUGGUUGUGGUAUAGGAGGCUCCAAUUUGCCCCUUAGCCUGGGAACUUCCAUAUGCCACAGGUAUGGCCCUGAAAAAUAAAAGAAAGAAAGAAAAGAAAAAAGAAAAAGAGCAGAUACAAAGAUUUCUUGGUCCUCUUCUAACUAGGAUGUUCCUGGACAUACCAGAGGUCUGGCUACUGGGAAGUUAAAGAGUUGCUCUGAUUCUGGUGGGAGAAGAGGGGGCAGGGGGGAGGGAGGUCUUGUGGCCCUCAACUGAAACUUGCUGAGUUUGGGAACUCUCAGUGGAGAGAGAUGAUCUUCAGCACUGGACAGUGCAUUGAAGCAUGAUUGUUGCCACAUCCUUCUGUAAAGUUCAAAUCUGUAAACACUCAGAAGGGAAACCCAGAACCACAGAGUUCUUUUACCAAUUUCUAAAUAAGAAUUCAAUUCCUGAUGUAUUGGUAACCUGCUUUCCCACCCCCUCAGUCCAUAAGCAGGAAGCCAGGGAAUUUUUUUUUUCCCCUCUUGGAUUAAAUAAAGUACAAGACCUGAAAAAUAGCUUCUCCUCAAAGCAAUCAACUUGAAUCCCUGCUCCCUUCAUCACUUCACCAGUCACAGACAUUUAAAAGAAAGGAAUACCCUUGCUAAAAAACCAUCAAUCCAGAAAUCACUUUUAGAGAUGACGUUUUUUUCUGAUCUAAUUUGUGUUAUUUGCUGAUUUCUUUUCCUGAGGGUUUUCUUCUGGAACUUGCUACGUUCUACAUGUGUUAGUGUUCUUCCUUGUCCUUUGUUUCCACAUCUUUUCCUUUUAAAAUUUUUUAAAAUUUAUUUUUAAUUAUUAUUAUUAUUUUUUCCUUUUUUUGGCUGCACCCAAGGCAUAUGGAGCUUCCUGGGCCAGGAAUCAAAUCUGAGCUUCAGCUGCAAUCUAUGCCACAGCUGUGGCAAUGCCAGAUUCUUACCUCAUGCACCAGACCUGGAAUCAAACUGACAAUGCCAUGGAGAUGAGCUGGAUCAUUAACACACUGCACCACAGAGGGAAUUCCAUAUCCUUUCUUUGGUGCAGUUGUUACUCUGAAUAUCAUCGCAAUAGCGAUGAUAACUAUCCCUGAACUGGUCAUGGACCUGGACUCCUCUUGACCAGCUCUCCUUCCUUUUUUCUCAUGCUUCCUCCUUUCCCUUUCCUUUAAAGCUGUAUGAGGAUGUUGUGCAUUAAACUUGAAUCCUGAAGUUUGCUUUCCCCUCCAAGUGCACUGUGUAUUUGCUUUGGUGAUGGGGAUCACAUUCUUUCACACUUCAGAGACAUGAGGUGAUGAUGAUUCCCUGAUUUGUUACUGGUAGUGGAGGGAAGGCAGAAGAAGAGCAACCAGAAUGACUAAAAGCCAGAGGGACUUGCCAUCAAGUAAAAAUAAGAAGACCAGAUGUUGUUAUGUGUUGCUUGAUUGAUCUAAGAAGACUGUGGGGACCACUUAUAAACACUUGAGAGCUGAGAAGAUGGCAAGAUAUGGGGAAGAAGAAAGACUAGUGACUUUAGAAGAAGGCAGGAGAAUGUGCUAUGUGUUUUUAUUGGGCUGUGGAAAUUCACUGGGAAAGCACUGUAGAACCCAUCACAUGAGACACAGAUGAUAAAAGUCUAUUUUGGUUUUUCUUGCUGGAACUUUAGCUUUUAUCUUUCACACUGUAUGUAAUAAUUAAAGAGGGAAGAAUUUUGAAGUCUUUUUAAGAUUAUCAAAGAAAGAUGAGAUAUGUUCCAUAUAUUUUAAUGUCAAAAAUAACUUCAGGAAUUCAACAAUGUAUUAAAUUCACAAACACUUAAUGAACACUGAUCAGUUCAAUGAAUUGAACUGCUGAGCAAGAUAAAGUUCCUGCCCACUUCAAUUAAAUUACUUGAAACUGCUAAUAUUUAAGAGUUCUUUUAAUUUCAAAAAAGGCAAUUUCAUGGUUUGACUUAAUAAUAGGGAGAGGCAAACAACAAACAAAUAUAUUAUUGAAUAAAUAAGUAAAAUAAAAGUGGGAAGUGCUUGUGCCAGAUGCCAAGCUAUUUUCUUUUGCCUCAAAUCCUCUCUACUCAGCUUUGUGUUGCUGGGGAUGGGCCUAUGCAAACCACAGUUUUGCAUAGACCUGCCAAUGUAGGGCAGACGGGACAGACCACAAGACUUGUGGGCAAGAAGGGAUUCACUCCUUCCUGUCUGCUGGAGGUCCCUGGGAACAUCAUCCUAAUCAGUCUUCUUCAUGGCACAGUACAAUGCAUUCCUGUAGCAGCAGCUGAACCCAGUUUUCAGUUUUCUCAGUAGGUGCAGAACCACCUUCAUUGUGGCCCCUCAGGUAUAUCAGUGCCAGCUGAGCAGUACCCCUUCCUGUGAGCUCUCAAUUUCAGCUCUGCUGGGUCCCAAUUCCAAGCUUCUUCUUCUUGAAUAAUUCCAUCUUCUUUUAUAUGUCUCUUCAGCCCUAGGUCUGGAAUCUACUUCCAGUGGCUGGUACCUUAGUGUUCUCUUUUUGUCUUUCCAAUUAUCUAGUUGUCAAAUUCAUACCUGGCUAACAUGAUAUUAAAUUCUCCCUUAAAAUAUUUGAUGUGGCUUCUGUCUCCUAAAUGGAUCUGUCUCCUGACUGAGAGAGGGCCAUCCAGAGAAUUAAGGUAGGGUGAUUGGAGGGAUGAUUACUUAAAACUGAGUGGCCAGAGAAGUCUUUGGCAGAGGUGAUGUUUAAACUAAAACCUCAAAACCAAAUGCUAAAGGAGGAUAUUCCAGUCAAUGUGUGCAGUGAGUUCCAUUAAGGUGGGAGCAGCUGGAGUGCAAGAGGAAGGAAAAAGCUUACACUUUCUGGUUGUCGAUGGGGAAAAUUAGGUGGCAGCCAGAAUAAGAGCUUUAUUGACCAGGAUAGGAAGUUUUCAGUUGAUUGCAGUAAGUUGGAGGAUAUUAAGCUGAAAGAAAGUGUGAUCUUUAAAUUUUAAAACCUCACUCUGGCUUUGUGUGGAGAAUGGGUUGUAGGAAUGAGAACCAAUAGACAACUGGCUAGGAGGUGUUUGUUGUGGUCCAGUUGAGAGGUGGUGGCAGCCUCAACUAGGUAGUAAUAGAGAUGACGAGAGGUAGAUAAAUUGAGUACAUUCUUUUGGAGAAGUUAAAAUAUGAUGAAUUAAUUCACCAUGAAAAUGAUGAAGCAUUAAUAUAUAGAGUAAGAGAGAGGAAUUGAGAAAAAUUUGUGAUGUGAUGUGUGUUUCUGUGUGUGUGUAUGUGUGUGUAUUAGCUGUCCAUUAAGUCCAGUCACCCAUUCAUGUAUAUACACAUCCCCACAUUCCCCCUGCAUUCCCAUAUCCAUGCACUCAGAUACAUGUAAGCACAUACCCACACCCUGGAGGCUUCCAUUCAAGAUGAUGUGGACUCGUCAAUCACUACUUUUUGCAAAUCCUAUUGAUGCCAGAAAGAUGUUACCAGAAUCUAGGUUCUUGUUCACAGAGCCAAAGAAUGAACUUUAUGAACACACAGGCAGCAAGCAAGCAAAGUCUUUAUUACAGGAAAACAAAUAGCUCCCAAGACAGGCUGAGAGGGGGAAGAAGAGUCCCCCUCUCUAUUGUCCUAUAGGGGUUUUUAUCCCUUAAAGAUGGGGGUUACCAACAGGGAGUCCAAAAAGAGGUGGUUUUCUCCUUUGGCCUUGUCCAGUUACCUAUAUCGAUCCUUGUCCAAUAAGGGUCUUAGAGGUGGAAAUGUACCAUAUGUUUUGUGGUUUCUUUGCCCUACUUUUCCUUAGACCAAGAGUCACCAUUCCUCUCAUUCCUUUUCUAUUAGUUGAAGAGUGUGUUAGAAAUUACUGUCCAUCUGAGAGUAGGUACAGUCCCUAUAGUAAACAAGUCCUGUGGAGAUGUUACUUCCUGGAGCUUUUAAGCCAUAAAUGUUAAUCAAUAGCCAUGUCAAAUAAUGCAUCAAAACCCAUGCUCCUACAGCAACUACCUGAGUUAUUAUUCUGCCUUACUAUCAGCCUACCUUACUGGGUUUUCAUCUAGUUUACAUUUCUCCAUCUCGUAUGCAGAGAUUUUAUGAGAUAUUUUUGAUAAAUGUCUUUUCAAAAUUAAAUAUGAAAAUAUAUUUGUAGCACCCCCCAUUUAAUGAGGCUAUUUUUUAAAAAUGAAGUUAAUUAAUUAAAUCUUUAUUUUUAUCUGAACCCAUAUUGGAUUACAGUCUAACCAGAGAUCCUUUUCUAAGCGGUCACAAACCAUUUGGUUAGUAAUCUAGUCCAGAAUAUUCUAUUUUUUGUUGUCAAGUUUACUUGCUCAUCUCUAGAGUCUAUUUGCCAUAUGUUAUUAAACUAUGAAAUUUUUUGAAUUCCAAGUUUCUGGCUCUUCUUUAUUUCUGAGUGAUUUUUUUCAUGUAAAUUUAAUUAACUAAUUAAUUACUUUAUGAUUUUUUAUAUACUGAGUUCUGCAGUAUCUCAAGCACUAUGUAAAGUAUCUCAUUACUGUAGUGACUUCAUAUUUGAUGAGUCCUUUUGAAAUUCCAAAAUCUAAUUGAACACACUUCAACCACUGAGUUCUCUGUUAAUCUAUUACAGAAAAAAAAAAAAUCCAUGUAGAUUGUGCUCAUUUUUACACCAAACGUGGUACAUAUUUUCUAUCUUGUAUAAUUUUAUGUAACUCAUAUGAGUGUGGUAAUAAUACCAUCUAUCAAGAUGUUUUUAUUUUUCAGAAAUAUAGUAAGGUUUUUUGUCCCUUUCAAAGAAAAGUGAAGUCUCUGAGCAGGACUUCGUGGGGCCCUAAUGGGUACAGAUACUUUCUGUGUUCCCUGUUUGUUAUUUGUAAAAAGUGGGCUUCAUUCAGCCUCCUUGACCUUCUCUGAAUUCCAAAGGGCAGAUUCAAAACAGUUGCUAAUCAGAAAAGUGAGAGAGUGCAGAAACAAAGUAGUAGAAAUCAAGAAACAACAGUU
rnacentral:lncRNA from 1 species